ensembl:lncRNA
CAUAUAUACACCAUAUAUAUACACCGUGGUGUAUAUAUAUAUAUACACCAUAUUUAUACUAUAUAUAUAUAUACACACCAUAUAUAUAUAUACACCAUAUAUACACCAUAUAUAUACACCAUAUAUAUAUAUAUAUACACCAUAUAUAUACACACCAUAUAUAUACACACCAUAUAUAUACACCAUAUAUAUAUACACACACACCAUAUAUACACCAUAUAUAUAUAUAUACACCAUAUAUAUACACACCAUAUAUAUAUAUACGUCCUCCAACCGAGACCGUCAUGGCGGGCGAAUGCAGGACAGAAGGCCACCCGUCCCCUGAGCGUCACACAUCCCCACCGUUCCUGUCCCGCUCACCCGCAUCCUUCCGCGCUCGUGCCGAGACGAGGCUGCCCGGGACCACCCAGCCCACGGGGCACCCGGGUUUCUUCCUCACGUCUCCUGUGGAAAACACGGUGGGACACAGCGAUGGUAGUCACCAAUUCCAUUUCUACAACUAUUCGGUUAUUUAUUCCACUUCUGCAACUAUUCAGUUAUUUAUUCCAUUUAUACAACUACUUAGUCAUUGGAAGAACUAAAUAUGGAGGGGGAAAAAAACAGAAAAACAGCAGAAAUGUUAGGUAAGGGCAUUACAAUGCUAGGGUCAAGAGUGCCCCCCCCCGCCAUCAUUCACAUCCACCCGGAACCUCAGAAUCUGCCCUGAUUUGGAAAUGAAAUCUUUGCACAUUGGGAACAUCCUACAACACACCCUGUCUAUGCAGCAAGGGGAGCUGUUUGGGGCGAGGGAUGAAGACCUCCCCGGUGGGGCCUGGUGGUUGACUCCUUGACGUUGAAAUAGGACGAUUCCGAUGCGGGUGGUUCCCAAGAUGAACCCGGAGGGCAAGGAGCCAUUUUCAAGCCAUCUCGGACCCUCCCGUCCAGGUGGCGGUCUGCUGGUGAAUUGUCCUCCCACCAGUUCACGCCCCCAGUUGACCCAUCUCUGGUCAUAGUCGGAGAAGCAUAAGCACCAAGUGCGUUCUUGUCGCCCACGCGCCAACGGGAUCAUUUCAGCAGACACCGACAGACUUCAUGGAGACAGCGGGUGGCUAUAGAAUGUCGGAGCAACCAACUGUAGAUCCUGCACACCCGACAUGAUUAAUGGCGGAGGAAGUCUUUGCAGAGACAAAUGGGGUCGUUUCCCCAGAAGACAGGCCAUCUGGCUGCCUUUGGAACCAACAAAAACAAGAAUCGUCCCCGGCGCUCUGUGUCUUGGUCAUCUGGGGCUCCCAUCAUCUUUAGGGGACAUUUGGUCCCGUCCAGAACGUCCAUGAGACGCUUGGUCCAUGAUAUAUCUGGUCUACACCAAAGGUCCUUGAAAUCUGGUCCAGUCCAGAGCGUCCAUGAGACGCUUGGUCCAUGAUAUAUCUGGUCUACACCAAAGGUCGUUGAAAUCUGGUCCCGUCCAGAAGGUCCAUAAGACACUCGGUCCAUGAUCUAUUGGGUCUACACCAAAGGUCCUUGAAAUUGGUCCUGUCCACAUUUGAUCCACAUCAAUAGGUCCUUCGUAUCUGGUCAUACUUGGUUCUGUCCAAAACGUCUAUGGAGACAUUUGUUCUGCCCCAAAAGGUCCUUCGUAUUUCGUGCUCCUCUAAGACCAUUUGGCGUGGACUGAAUACUCUCAUGGCCUGCGCUCACUGCCUCCCGUCUCUGCAAACGCUCCCUCCUUCCUCGUGUCGUCUUCCACCAUCUUGUCUCCACAAGUCGCUGCCCGUCUUCCCGAGGGCAAAUUCUUGUCAAGAUUAUGACUCCUCCCUUCAGGUCCAAACUCCAAUUAAAACGACCGGCUGUUCAAACAGGGGGAAAUUAGUGUCCACCCUGAAAAGCAGCUUGGGGUGGCGCUCCGAUACCCAAAACGUGGAAGGGUGUUAGCUGGACGUGGCUCAGCAUAAAACAGAGCAAAACACAAACCAGAGUUAUCGAAAAAGGAAGAACAGAUUUUAGUUAAAAAAAAAAAAUAUAUAUAUAUAUAUAUAUAUGAUACAUAAGAUUUCCAAGAUUCAGAGGAAAUUGGAACAUUGGAUUCUAAGAAAUGAGCAAACUGACAUAAUGGUCUGCACAAAAUAGAAAAAAAAUACCAUGACUGCUGAGUUAAAAAUAUCGAUGUGGGCAGUUUGCACUCUGAGAAAUCAAAUUUUGGGAAAACAGAAAACCGACAAUGAGAGAAUGUUUCCGGCAUGCAGAGGAAAGCAUAAAACGCUGGGGGGAAAGCAAAAUAAGAGGAAAAUAGCGAUAUUGAGAUAAUUUCCGAAAUCCAACUUGUGAGAAGGAGCAUUUUCUCCCAAGGAAUUUGGGAUCGAGGGGUCGGAAGCGAUCAUUAUAGAAAUUGCAGAAGAUGAGUAUGGUCAGACGUAAAAACUGAAAAGUGACGAUACGCGGAGUUCUCAGUGAAAACUGGAAAGAGAACCAGUUCUGGACAUAUGGUGGUGGCAUUUGUCCAAAAAAAAAAAGAUAAAAUAAAAUUCCACAAAUAUUCACUCUGUUUCACUCCAUCAUCGUGCAGGGCUGGAAAGUCACCUGGCAGAUGGGAAACCGAUUUCUACGUAAACGAGUGAAUAUUGCCCGGAAAUAGAUUUCUCCCCUAAAUCAGGCUGUUUUGGGCACGGUCUCGAUUCUCGCCUCCAGAGCCAUCAGACGAUGUCAAGAGGCUUUCUUCUUAAUCCAGACGUCAAAAAACAUCAAAAAAAAAAAAAAAAAACAAGAGUGAGACAUUAUAAUUCUCAAAUAUUUUAGCUAAACUCAGGGGGCACCCGGCUCAAACCCGUGUUCGGAUCCAUCGAGCCGUGUGGGACAGGAACCAAUACCCUUAACGGGGAUUUUCUGACUUUGGGACCAAACGGUUUGCGUAUUCCUUCUCUGAGGGACGAAAACGAGAUUAGUCGAUCGAAAUCUGUUCGAUUUGGUGCUCCUCCGAGCGUGGGAAACGCCGUUCCACGACAAAAUUUAGAAUAUGGGAAGUCUUUUUAAGAAUUAGACUAUUUGCUAAAAAUCCCUUUACCUGGCGCGUGCCACCAAAAAUUGUGCUUCUUCGAGAAAGAGGCCCGAGGCGAGCGAUGGUGGGAACCCGGCGUCCGCGACUCGGCUGAAAUGUCUCAUCUUUUGUGAUUUCAGAAAUUUCAGCGUCGUCCCUUUACCUCAUGGAGGACCCUACUCAGUAGUUAGAAAGCGGAACUGUGAUCAAGACGAGUGGGAGGAGGAGGAGGAGGAGGAGUUGUAGGAGUAAUAGCAGGAGUAGUAAUUGCCAUUGGAGUAUCUAGUAGUUGUAGGAGUAGUAAUAGUAGGAGUAGUAACUGUCAUUGUGGUAGCUAGUAGGAGUAGGAGUAGGAGUAGUAAUAGUAGGAGUAGUNNNNNNNNNNNNNNNNNNNNA